rnacentral:tmRNA from 1 species
GGGGGUGAACUGGCUUCGACUUUGAAGUGAGUCUCUCAGUAGCGAGCCGAGGGUCCUAGGGCCUCGUAAAAAACGUAGGAAAAAUAAUAACUGCUAAACCUAAAUUAGCAAUAGCUGCGUAAGUAGCUCACUACCUUAUCGGGGUUCCCAUCUCGGAUAGGGAUAGUGUCAAAAUAUGGGAUGCCAAGUUGCUUUACCGAACAACUUGAAAGCUUAAGGUAAAAACUAUAUAGAGUAGGUUUUCGGUGGCUCUCUAAAUAGUAAUUCACCGAAUGCGCUCGGAGAAGCUGUUUGAUAGCUUAAAAGGACCGGGGUUCAACUCCCCGCACCUCCACCA